CAUUCGCCAUUCUUCUUUUUCAAAGUUUAUGUCUUUCAUACUGCCAUUGAUUAAGGAUUCUUUUCUGUGUUAUGGGUAUGCCUGAUAUGUGUAUGUGUAUGCGUCAUUUACUGAUUACCUGUGCUCUGAUCUUCGUGGGUACUGUGUAUGAGCUGACGCUAUAGCAAUUCUUUCUGCAAUAUUUUUUAUACUGAUUUAUUUAUCUUGUCUCAGUUUCCAUUGCAGAGCAGGAAAAUUCAUUCCUUGAUUCAAAAGCUUCUAAGUUUUUUUCUUUCGAUUCCAUUUUUCUAUCGAUGUUUGGUAUUGUGGUGGGAAGAAAUAGGGUUAUGAUGCAUGCUAUCUUUUUGUGUUUAUUGGUACAGAAGUAGAUAGCGGUAGAGUGGAUAAAAGAUGUGAUGAGCCUUUCCCCAUAUGAUCGAAGUUGAUUCUAACUGUGCUAUUCUCAUAAUUUAGUCUCAUUUAUUGAGUAUCGAAUUUCCAAGCCAGAACUCUGAUCUUUCUACCGUUUCAAUUUUAUGUGAUAAUAUUUUUGCAAAUGUUUUAAUUAAUUUGAGCAUAGUGUUGUUAUUAUUAGUUAGAAUUUGUGUUUGUUAAAAUUUUAUUGUCCAUUGAUUUUUUGCAUUGUUUGAUGGACGUGAUGAUUAUUUCCCCAUGUGAUCGACGCUGAACAUACUGUGCGAUCUUUCUCUUUAGAGAAACCAAGCCAAUUAAUCUGAUCCAUUAUGUAUGUUUUAGAAUGUUCAUCUUAGAAUUGAUAUGUGUUUCAGAAGCGCAUUUGUCUUUCUCAUGCGAAGCUAUUCAUGAGGUGAUCGACGCUGAACAUACUGUGCGAUCUUUCUCUUUAGAGAAACCAAGCCAAUAAAUCUGAUCCGUUAUUGUAUGUUUUAGUAUCCUCCUCUUAGAAUUUUAUAUUUGUUUUAAAAGUGCAUUUGUCUUUUUGAUGUGCAUUUAUUCAUGACCUUGUGUUUUUGAAUUUUUAAUGGUAUUUGUUUUAGAAGCGGUUGCAUUUGCCUUCGAACAAUUAUUGGAAGCUUCAUGGAUGAUAUGAUUUCUGAUUAAAUUUUAUGAAUUAGCUAGUUGAUAUUUGGCAUUAAAAUUGCACUGCAAGAUGGAAGUGAUGAUUAUUUCCCCAGAUGAUCGAAGCUGAAUAUACUGUGCGAUUUUUCUCUUUAGAGAAACCAAGCCAAUAAAUCUGAUCCAUCUUUGCAUAUUUUCAAUUUGAUUUUCUCUUUGGAUAGUAUAUGUUCAUAUUUCAUAUUUUCAUAGCAAUUGUGUCUUUUCUUUUUGCCUAGGUUUAAUAGGGAUUUGUGAAUACCUUUUUAAUUGUAGAUUCCUGAUAAAUUAUGUUGGAGAAUUGAUGAAGGGUGUAUUUUGUAAUUGGAUAUUCCCAUCUUUUCUAAAGGUUAUUCUCCAGAUAACAAUUAACAGGAGUUUAAUGCUUGUGCUACAUUGUAUGUGGAUUGCAAGUUUGGCUCUUCUGUUACAUACAUACCAAUGUACCUAUUUGAAAUCUCUGCACCAGUUUGCAAUUUGACUGUA